GCAAUCGUACGCCAUAGAAUCUCCUGUAUCUCUCCUCCCCAUGAGAAACAACUCAAUGUCUCUCAAAUUGGAACAAACAAGUAGAGGAAUUGAUAAUUGAGGAACUGAUCUGGUGCGCUCAGGCCAUGGAUCUCGUGCAUUAAUCAGGAAGUUACUUCAUCAAAAUUAUUUUUCUCUUUGGAUCAGUAGACCAUCCCAUCCGAAGUGUCCAUGUGUGCUAGGAAGAAAAUAUUCGGUCGUUGUGCUACUGAAAGGUGCUGUGAUGUGUAUUCUUCAUUUGGCAAUAUUACACCAGGUAGCAUAUUUAACCUGUAUGACAUCUUCGGUUGAUGCUGAGCCAAGAAGAGCAAGGGUUCGAAAGAAUAGAAAGUUAUGGCCUCCACCAUUCAUCAUUUCUACCGCCAUGGCAUGCAGCGAGGAAAUGGAUCCAUGGAAACGAUCAUGCUGGUGGAUGGCGGUGAUGUUGAAACUCCAGAUGGCGGCGCCUUGCAGAGUUUAGACAAAAUUCUAUGUUGAAUCCUGAGUGUAAAUUACUCACUUCUGGUCUCGCACAAAAGAAAAGAGUCAGAUCCUUGGACUGCAGGAAUUAUCUUCAGAGUUUAUGAUGGUCUUAACAAAAAAUGGCCCAAUAAAUGCAGUGUGUGCACAAAAUCCUUCAGCUAAACCAUUCCUACAUGUACG